GACGAACGCUGGCGGCGUGCUUAACACAUGCAAGUCGAGCGGUAAGGCCCUUUCGGGGGUACACGAGCGGCGAACGGGUGAGUAACACAUGAGCAACCUGCCCUUCUCUUUGGAAUACGCGUUGGAAACGACGUCUAAUGCCGAAUAUGACCCCCUGUCGCAUGGUGGGGGGUGGAAAGCUUUGGCGGAGAAGGAUGGGCUCGCGGCCUAUCGGCUUGCUGGUGUGGGUAAAGGCACACCAAGGCGACGACGGGUAGCCGGCCUGAGAGGGUGACCGGCCACACUGGGACUGAGACACGGCCCAGACUCCUACGGGAGGCAGCAGUGGGGAAUAUUGGACAAUGGGCGAAAGCCUGAUCCAGCAACGCCGCGUGAGGGAUGACGGCCUUCGGGUUGUAAACCUCUGUCAGCAGGGACGAAGCGAGAGUGACGGUACCUGCAGAAGAAGGACCGGCCAACUACGUGCCAGCAGCCGCCGUAA
rnacentral:rRNA from 1 species